CCCUUUGAUGUCCUGGGCCACACGCGCGCUACACUGGGCGGGGGAGCGGGUUUGCUGGGUCGGUGGAUUUGGCGAAUCGUGUGAAGACCGCCCGUGCUGGGGAUUGAUGCUUGGAAUUUUUGAUCAUGAACGAGGAAUACCUAGUAAUUGCUUGUGAUUAGCAAGUGAUGGAUAUGUCCCUGCCCUUUGUACACACCGCCCGUCGCUACUACCGAUUGGGUGGGGAGGUGAGGUUGUGGGAGGGCCUGGGGUGGGGGUGCGAGCCCCUGCUUUGGGUCUGAACCCAAUCAAACCUUUUCAUCUAGAGGAAGUAAAANUCGUAACA
rnacentral:rRNA from 1 species